rnacentral:rRNA from 1 species
AUUGAACGCUGGCGGCAUGCCUUACACAUGCAAGUCGGACGGUAACAGGCCGCAAGGUGCUGACGAGUGGCGAACGGGUGAGUAAUGCAUCGGAACGUGCCCAGUCGUGGGGGAUAACGCAGCGAAAGCUGUGCUAAUACCGCAUACGAUCUAUGGAUGAAAGCGGGGGACCGUAAGGCCUCGCGCGAUUGGAGCGGCCGAUGUCAGAUUAGGUAGUUGGUGGGGUAAAGGCCCACCAAGCCAACGAUCUGUAGCUGGUCUGAGAGGACGACCAGCCACACUGGGACUGAGACACGGCCCAGACUCCUACGGGAGGCAGCAGUGGGGAAUUUUGGACAAUGGGCGCAAGCCUGAUCCAGCAAUGCCGCGUGCAGGAAGAAGGCCUUCGGGUUGUAAACUGCUUUUGUACGGAACGAAAAGGUUUGGGUUAAUACCCUGGGCCGAUGACGGUACCGUAAGAAUAAGCACCGGCUAACUACGUGCCAGCAGCCGCCGUAA